CAGAUAUGUCCAAUAUGACGAUUGGUGGUAUAUCAGAACUAAUGGGGCGGCGGGAACUGGAACGAUCAGUUGGACGCCUCGACCCGGUGUCUUCCCGUCUGGAAGGCGAAAGAUCUACGAGAAUACACAAUGGCCUGUUGUGGCACACAAUAUGUACUGGUCUAACCUUACAACCUAUGCAAAAGAAAAUGGUGGGAUGUACAACUUUAUUCUUGAUUCACACGGCCAUGCUUUACCUUUUGAGGAGCGUUUCUGGAAUGACCUUUUUAAAGAUGGCAAAACUUGGGGAUUAAUGGUGUAUGAACAGGAUUUUUUAAAUACAAACUUUGAUUCGAUCAACGCUACUGUUUCCGAUGUUGUUUCCGGUAAGACCUGGUUGAUGGAAAUGGGAAACGCUGCCAGGAAAAAUGGCUUGACGCUUCAGUAUUGCAUGAGCUACCCCAGACAUGCCAUGGCUGCACUGGAAAUACCUGUUGUCACUCAGGCACGAGCAUUUGCAGAUAACCGUCCCAACACAGACCACUGGACAAUCGGAGUAUCUUCUAUACUUGCUGAAGCUUUGGGCAUAGCACCAUACAAAGACAAUUUUUGGACAAUGGAAGUUCAGCCA